GGAUGUGAAGGCGAUCUGGCUGUGACAUCUGUCACCUCACUGAUCGCCAGGGUUGAUGUGGCUGAUCUGGUAGCUAGGUGGGUGUGCCCUUCCUCCCUCACUGCUCCAUGUGUGCCCUCCUGAAGCUGCGGGCUCAGUCGAAGAGGAUGACCUUCCUGGAUAGAAGACUGUUCUUCAGUCAAGGGUAUAUGAGUAGCUGCGCUCCCCUGCUAGAACCUCCAAAUAAGUGCUCAAGAAACCCCUGCACCAGGGGUUUUGAGCAGAGGAGUGAUAUGAUUGGACUUCUGUUU
rnacentral:snRNA from 1 species